UUAGGAAUAUUCGUCAAUGGGGGAAACCCUGAACGAGCAAUGCCGCGUGAGUGAUGACGGUCCUCUGGAUUGUAAAACUCUGUUGUUUAGGAAAAAUUGUAUAAACAGGAAAUGGUUUAUGCUUGAUGGUACUAUUCAAGAAAGCCACGGCUAACUACGUGCCAGCAGCCGCGGUAAUACGUAGGUGGCGAGCGUUAUCCGGAUUUAUUGGGCGUAAAGCGUCCGCAGACGGCUUGUUAAGUCUAGAAUCAAAGCCCGGAGCUUAACUUCGGUUCGUUCUAGAAACUGGCAGGCUUGAGUAUAGUAGAGGCAAGUGGAAUUUCUAGUGUAGCGGUAGAAUGCGUAGAUAUUAGAAGGAACACCAGUGGCGAAGGCGACUUGCUGGGCUAUUACUGACGUUCAUGGACGAAAGCGUGGGGAGCAAAUAGG
rnacentral:rRNA from 1 species